UAGUGACAUACGUAAGAGUAAAAAUCUUCACCGAAAACGUAAAAAAGUAGAAUAAUAUUAUACAACUGUUGAUCGUCUCAGAGCAUACCUUGACAGUAUUAUAACAUACUAUAAAUUUAAUCAUAAAUAUUAAGUAUAAUAAAUCUAUUAUUCCGUGAAGAUAAUUAAUUUUCCAAUACACAUAAAGGAAGAGGUCGCAUUGCAAAAUGGAAACGCUAUGAAAACAUUUUAUCAUAAGUUUAAUAUUAGUGAAUAAGUUAAUUAGAUAGAAAAUUACGAUAUUAAGAUUCAUAUUACCUAUUAAA